GACCCACAACUCGUGUGAGCAGGCCCAUUUCACAGGUUGUGUGAGCACUAUUGAAAAGGAAAGGAUACGAUUAUAUGGACAGGCACUGAUGUGAUCCGGCCCGGGUUAAUCAAGUCGUUUCACGUAGUUGUCCGAUCGUCGGUGAGGAGUAGUUCGAGUUUUCGAAAAUUGGGUGAUUCAGGCUAAGGAUGCAGAAGCUUAUAAAGGGUGUUAGAUGAGUGGUUUGGUGUUGGUAGGUUCGGUUUAGGAUAGAACAAGGUGGGAUAGAAAAUGGUAAUUAAUGGAGAUGGAAAAUAGAACUUAAACGUCAAGGAAGUUUCAAUACUAUAAAUAGUAUCGCCCCAAAUCUUAUAUGGUUUAAGGGGAAAAGAUGGAAAUAGGAAUAUGGACCUCGACCCAUUACUUAGCAAAGUAAGAACCAAAGGUAUAUUGAAAUGGAUGAACGCCACACCAGGAUUGGUGAUAAGUUUGGAAACAGUUCGGUUGACGCCACUAGCAUGCUAGAUAAGCCAAAUCGAGACUCACACGAAAUAUGAGAGGGAGAAACCUCACAAGAACAAUAGUUCAUUCAGAAUUUUGACAAAAAGUUCUUUUACAAUGAAAUUAAUCAACUAUUUAUAGCCAAAGCUUAGGCUAGCUGAAUCGUCAACAUCAAACUUAAAAUAUAAGUAAAUAAAAAUCACUAAACUACCAUAGCAAGGUUUGGCUGAAUGAAAUUAAGGCUGGAAAUUAAAGCUCCUAGUUGUUGCCACAUGCAUGCACAUCUUGCUGUAAAAUUUGAGUAGUUUGUGUAUGAAAAAUUCAAUAGUGAACAGCCUUUGUGUGUGUACAACCAUAGCUGAAAGGUCACCUUCAAAAUACAUGCAUGGCCGGAUGCAUGCUCCUCAUUAAAUGCGUUCAUUGGAUCGACAAAUGCAUGUCCAGCAGCCUCCUUAAUCAAUCUUCAAAAUACAUGCGUGACUAAAUGCAUGUUUUACGAGGAAGAAAUGGAAUGGGCGGCCGAAUUAUUGUAAGCAGUCAAGUUCUUUGUCUCCACGAAAAAGGUGCUUGGAGAAUAGCAAUCAGCAGCCUAAAUUCAUCUUGAAUACAACUUCACAUUCAUGUGUCCUUUUCUGUGCACAAAAAAGGUAUUUGGGAAAAACUAAGUCAUCAGAUCAUUUAAUGCCGUCCUUAGCAUGGGGAGAAAAUGCAACAACAACUUAAAUGUCGUCCCAGCAUGAAAAGGAGAAUUCGGCAGCUCCUUUAUUGCACCCACGCAUGAUCUUCUUUAAUGUUCUACCUUGCCAUUAAGUUAGCCGAAUUUAAUGACCUGCAGAGAACAAUUAAAUUCGGUCAAUUAAAUUUCGUCAAUGCAUAUUAAUAACCUGCUCAUUAAAUUUGUUCUUUAAAUUUCGGUUGGCUAAGACAUAUUUAAUAUUCUGCAUUAAACAACAGCAUUAAACAACAGUAGCAUUAAACAACAGCAGCAAAACACAUUAAUUAGCAGCAUUAAAUUUAUCCAAACAUAUUUAUAACAUGUAAUAGUUUGAGACAUAAUUAAACACUUAAUUAAUUAAGAACUUAAUUAGGUCAUAAUUAAAAUACUUAAUUAAUUAGUUGUCCAGAUUUUUUUUAAACAAAUUAAUUAAUUUAACUAAAAACAAUUAAAUGUUUUAUUCCAGAAAAUUAAUGCAAACUAAAAGCAUAAAAUUAAAAUAAAUUGGAAUUCAAGCUCAAUGAACAGAAAUUAGCUCAAAUUGAGCUCCAUGGAGCUGGAACAAGCUAGUUCAGUUUCCAAAAGACGACAAGCCUCUCUUGGAAAACUGAUCCAAGGGUGUUCUCGGGCGGGAUCGUAUCAUUCCUCCCUCUUUGAAGCGAUUUGUCCCCAAAUCGGGCCACUUUCUCGAAAAAAAUUUUAUAUCGUCACCAGCCCUUUGGUCGAUGGAAUUGGCAUAGUUGCUCCCAAAAACCUGCAAAUCAAACAUGCCUUGAGUAGGACACAAGUUAUGUUUAUGCCCUCCCUCUUUAGGAGGGAACCACUUUGAAGUGUCACCUACACAAAAAUUAAGUAGAUUGGUGACUCCAUGGUUUAUAAAUUCAAAAGGACUUCUUAAGAUCUUAUGCAAAAAUUGAACAAGUGAACCAAUGCCAGGAUCAAAAGUAAAAGUUGAUUUUACCUUUCCGUAAUGAGUUAAGAAUUUCUUCAUUGGAGAUAUACCAAAAUCAAGAAGCUUUCGGGAAUUAUAACUUUGGACAACAAAAGUCCAUGACUUAAAACCUUUGAACAAUGAUGUAGAACCAAAGCUUUGAUUUAGCAUUUGCAACUUGUCAUAGUUCAACAAAUUCUUUUUCAGAUUUAAAGUCAUAACAUCAAGCAAGCACAAAUGGUUCACACAUCUAUUCACACAAAAUUCAGAGUGCUUGAUUUCAUUCAAUGAUGAUCCAAAAUAACAAAAUGUUCGAUAGUUAUGGUCUCAAAAAUCAAAAUCCAUUGGUUCAAAUCCCUCGAUCAAUAAUAAAGAAUAAUAAGCACCUGGAUAAAAAAUGAAGAUUUUGCUUACCAUCUCACAUUGAUUUGAAUAUUUCUUAGCUGACAGCUUGGUAGGAACACGAAGCAAACUACAGUUAUAAGUAUGCAAUUCAUGUUCGAAUCCCUUAAACCACAAUAUGGAGAAAUUUCUAGAAUCAUAAAUUGAAUUUUGACUUUGGAAGCCAACAGUAUUCACAUGCUUUGUCUUCACACAUAGCGAUAAAAUUCGGAAAAGAUGAGAAGGUUCAACAUAUUUAUUCCAAACAAAAUUAGAGUACUCACCUUUAUUUAAAAACAACUUAAGAUAACUUGCUCCAGGCUUAAACUCACGGUUUUGAUCAUUCUUUGUUAAAAACAGCAAAGGCUUUUUCAAACAUGCAAAAUUUAUACAACAAGGUAGAUCCGUCACACCAUCACCAUGUUCAUUUGAACUAAGCACUUUGCAUAGCAACCUUUUAUUACACAAGCUCGAAAUAUUUUCAUGAUGAUUGAAUCUCACUUCAUCCACAUACUGAUCGAUGAAACAAUUAUCAUUAACAAAAUUUUCCUUGCCAUCAUUAAGAUCAACCACAUCAAGGUAUAGUUCUUUUCCAAAACCCACGUCAUAAGCAAUGUCGUUACUAUGAAUCAAAUAGGGUUGAUUAAAGGAUAUAGAAACCUCACCUUGCUUACCUUUAGGCAUAGGUGGACUAGGGCCACCCAGAAUGCAACCUUCUCCACCCAAGAUGAACCGUCGCUCCUUUGGGAGGUAAAGUAGUUGAAACUCGUCACAUGGAUCAUUAAAAACUUGAAAGGAAGAAACAGAACAAGGGCAACUCAUAUGGGGGUUAGUUAAAACAACACUCACUUCUUCUUGUUCUCUCUCAUCUUUUCCAGUCGUUUCUUGCUCACUAUCUUCAUUUUCUUUCGUUUCUUUUUCAACAUUUUUUUCUUUUUCAAUUUUUUUCUCAAUCUCAAUUUCUUUUUCAAUUUUCUUUUCUUCAUUUUCUUUUUCUCUCACUUUUUUUAUUUCUUUUUCUUUUGCAAUUUCUUUUUCAUUUUCUCGCUUGCACUCUUUUUCUUUUUCACUUUCUUUUUCUUUUUCUUCUUUUUCGUUUUUAUUACAAUGUGAAGACGAUACAAAAGAAUCAAAAAGAUAAUCGUUUGGCUCAAAGAAAGAGAUAGUAUUUUCCUAGGAUUCUCGUUCAUUUCUUCGGGAAUAAUCCUUCGGGAAGGACUUUUUUCAAGCGUACGAGGAAUAACUCGUCCUUUCUUGUUCGUCAUAUCGAAAAGUCGCAAGCUCUAAGCUGUUGUGUCUUGAAUUCCUUGACGAAUAGGAAUCCCGAUAAGAAUCUCUUAGCGAGUAGUCUUUGGACGCGUAUCGCCGUGAUGAUCUCGACUCCAUUUCUCGACUUGGUGGAUUUUGUUUUCGUCAGAUCUUUUCCUCCACUUGGUCCAACCAUCUUUUUAAUGGGCUUAGUUCUUCCUCCAAUAUUCGGCCCAUCUCAUUCACCAAGUAUUGAAAUUCAUCGGUAGAGAAUUCUUCUCGAGACAUGAUUUUAUUGCUGAAAAAGAAUAGUGAUUAAAACAAAACAACAAUUAAAUACCUUACCACAAAAAAAUCUCACGUUUCACUCACAAAGAAAAUUGGAUAGCACUCCACUCGUGUUUACACUCGUUUAAUGGCUUUUGCUUGCUCUAAUGUACUCACCACUCGUGCCUUUUUCUGCUCGUCUCACUCUCGUGAAUUUGUAUUUUAUUUCAAGAAAACUUAUUGCGGCUUAGAGGGUCGGCUUCAAAUGGGUGCAAAGGAUAACCUUAGGGUGUAUAGGGUAGGCUGAAACAAGGAAAAUAAAAAUCAAUGUAUGUGUGGCAUUUUGGGGGGUAGAAGGAAUGAUAGAAUGAAUGGAUGUUCGGAAGCAACAAGAAAUGAUAACAAAAUAAAACUCACAAGACUUUUCACUUUUUUUAUACUUCGAAUUUUUUUCAAUCUUUUUUUUAGAAUUUUUUUCGAUUUUUUUUUGAAUUUCCUCUUCUUCUUUUUUAUUUUUUUUGUUCAAUUACUAUAUGCUGAAAUACAAAGAAAAAAAAUUGCAACCUAAUUUUUUUUUUCACGUUACAAACCUACUCCGAGCUUGAUAUGAACAUCAGCGUUCCACGUUUCAGUAGCUCUGAUACUAAAUGAUGCGAUCUGGUCCGGGUUAAUCGAGUCGUUUCACGUAGUUGCCCGAUCGUCAACAAAGAGUAGUUGGAGUUUUCAAAAAUUGGGUGAUUCAGGCUAAGGAUGCGGAAGCUUAUAAAGGGUGUUAGAUGAGUGGUUUGGUGUUGGUAGGUUCGGUUUAGGAUUGAAACAAGGUGGGAUAGAAAAUGGUAAUUGAUGGAGAUGGAAAAUAGAACUUAAACGUCAAGAAAGUUUCAAUACUAUAAAGAGUAUCGCCCCAAAUCUUAUAUGGUUUAAGGUGAAAAGAUGGAAAUAGGAAUAUGGACCUCGACCCGUUACUUAGCAAAGUAAGAACCAAAGGUAUAUUGAAAUGGAUGAACGCCACACCAGGAUUGGUGAUAAGUUCGGAAAGAGUUCGGUUGAUGCCACUAGCACGCUAGAUAAGCCAAAUCGAGACUCACACGAAAUAUGAGAGGGAGAAACCUCACAAGAACAAUAGUUCAUUCAGAAUUUUGACAAAAAGUUCUUUUACAAUGAAAUUAAUCAACUAUUUAUAGCCAAAGCUUAGGCUAGUUGAAUAGUCAACAUCAAACUUAAAAAAUAAGUAAAUAAAAAUCACUAAACUACCAUAGCAAGGUUUGGCUGAAUGAAAUUAAGGCUGGAAAUUAAAGCUCCUAGUUGCUGCCGCAUGCAUGCACAUCUUGCUGUAAAAUUUGAGUUAGUUUGUGUGUGAAAAAUUCAAUAGUGAACAGCCUUUGUGUGUGUACAGCCAUAGCCGAAAGGUCACCUUCAAAAUACAUGCAUGGCUAGAUGCAUGCUCCUCAUUAAAUGGGUUCAUUGGAUCAACAAAUGCAUGUCCAGCAGCCUCCUUAAUCAAUCUUCAAAAUACAUGCGUGACUGAAUGCAUGUUUUACUUGGGAAAAAUGGAAUGGGCGGCCGAAUUAUUAUGAGCAGUCAAGUUCUUUGUCUCCACGAAAAAGGUUCUUGGAGAAUAGCAAUCAGCAGCCUAAAUUCAUCUUGAAUACAACUUCACAUUCAUGUGUCCUUUGCUGUGCACGAAAAAUGUAUUUGGGAAAAACUAAUUCAUCAGAUCAUUUAAUGCCGUCCUUUGCAUGGGGAGAAAAUGCAACAACAACUUAAAUGUCGUCCCAGCAUGAAAAGGAGAAUUCGGCAGCUCCUUUAUUGCACCCACGCAUGAUCUUCUUUAAUGUUCUACCUUGCCAUUAAGUUAGCCGAAUUUAAUGACCUGCAGAGAACAAUUAAAUUCGGUCAAUUAAAU
rnacentral:lncRNA from 1 species